rnacentral:rRNA from 1 species
UACGGGGGGGCAAGCGUUGUUCGGAAUUACUGGGCGUAAAGGGCUCGUAGGCGGCCAACUAAGUCGGAUGUGAAAUCCCCAGGCUUAACCUGGGAACUGCAUCCGAUACUGGAUGGCUUGAAUCCGGGAGAGGGAUGCAGAAUUCCAGGUGUAGCGGUGAAAUGCGUAGAUAUCUGGAGGAAUACCGGUGGCGAAGGCGGCAUCCUGGACCGGCAUUGACGCUGAGUGAGCGAAAGCCAGGGGAGCAAACGGG